rnacentral:rRNA from 1 species
GAUGAACGCUGGCGGCGUGCCUAAUACAUGCAAGUCGAGCGAACAGACGAGGAGCUUGCACCUCUGACGUUAGCGGCGGACGGGUGAGUAACACGUGGAUAACCUACCUAUAAGACUGGGAUAACUUCGGGAAACCGGAGCUAAUACCGGAUAAUAUAUUGAACCGCAUGGUUCAAUAGUGAAAGACGGUUUUGCUGUCACUUAUAGAUGGAUCCGCGCCGCAUUAGCUAGUUGGUAAGGUAACGGCUUACCAAGGCAACGAUGCGUAGCCGACCUGAGAGGGUGAUCGGCCACACUGGAACUGAGACACGGUCCAGACUCCUACGGGAGGCAGCAGUAGGGAAUCUUCCGCAAUGGGCGAAAGCCUGACGGAGCAACGCCGCGUGAGUGAUGAAGGUCUUCGGAUCGUAAAACUCUGUUAUUAGGGAAGAACAAAUGUGUAAGUAACUAUGCACGUCUUGACGGUACCUAAUCAGAAAGCCACGGCUAACUACGUG